AUUAACAUUUCAGAAAACAAAUUAACAUUUCAGAAAACAAAUUAACAUCACUCGAAACACUUUUACAAGUGGCAAAAUCAACCGGAAAGGGUAGGUACUAAUUCCAAGGCUGACCCGGAAGUGAUAACGGAAGCGGGCAUUUCAACCCAAGAUGGACAGCAGUUCAGUGGCGUUUUGCCCGUUUUGCGGGGCACAUAUGAGUAGAUUAACGCGGUUUUGUUUUUCUUGUGGACGGUCCUUAGAGUUUUUAAAUGGGACAGAACAGACGGAAGGUCCAGAGGCACAGGGGAUAUGUCAACAGCCGGAUAAUGCUAAACAAACAGAAAAACCUUGCCCGUCAUAUAAACAGUUCCUGGAAUACCGAAGCUCGAAGUCCAAAGAGCGUCAGUCUUUUAACUACGGGCCUAGAGGAAGACACCGGGCUAAAGAACAAAAACACGUCCAGGUUUUUGAACUCCCAAAGAUAAGUCUGAAAAUGAAAGAGAUGCACUGGGACAUCAAGCUACAAUUCAGCCAGGACAGGUAAUGUCAUUUUCAGACGUUCAUCAUAUUCUGAAAACUGUGACAUGCUGGUCAGAUUUACCGAUGAUGCAGGUGUUUAUGAGGAAGGGAUUGACACAGGUGGUCCAAGAUGAGAAUUUUUUAACUCUGCUAAUGAAGCACCUGAAAGACCGGCCAAUUUUUGAUGGACCAGAGGGACAUCGGUUCUUGGUCUAUAAUGCAAAUGCUGUUAGGGAGGAUGAAUACUUCCUGGCAGGACAGAUGAUUGCAGUUUCAGUUGUACAUGGAGGUCCGGGACCCCAUUUCCUGUCAGAAGAUCUUGUACAGUAUCUUGCUGGCCAGCCUUCAUUCAAACCAACAGUUAAUUUAAUAACUGAUGAAGAAAUAGGGAAAGCUUUGCGAGAGGUGGGGAUAACAUAAAUCCAGUGUGGUAGGACAGAGUUUAACAUAGUUCCUGCACUGUUCAAUGAUGAUGUUUAGUUCCCACACAUAUACAUUUGCAGAAUUAUGAAUUUAUGGUAUUGUAGGGUUACAGCAUGCUAUAUAUGUCACUAAAUAAAAAUGGUCAAGAUUAACACAUAGUUAUUUAAUGUGUUGGGUAUGUCUCUUUGUCUUUCAGAUUGAGAAUGCUGCUACAUUGGAUGCUCUACAAGAAUGUAUCAUGAGACACAGCACAAUGUUGCAGACAGCAGGCUGUCUUAGACAUGUGGCUGCUGUGGACGAAAAGACAGAAAUUGUGGCCGACUACCUCCAGUGGUAUAUUUUUGACCGCAACUCAUCUGUAAUUGACAGUGUGUUCACUUUGUAGAUUCAAAGAUGGUCUUUCAGCUCUUCAGUUCCUGACUGCACUACAGCAACACCCUACUUUGCUGACCCCUGUCCUGUGCCACUGUGAAAAGCGACUGACUGCCUUUGAGCUUGAGAGACUCUUCAAACCUCAACUCAGCCCUUCAGGGAGUAAUAGGAGACUGAAAGAAAGCCAAACCUUGGCCUGCUGGGCAGACUAUCUCCUUGAUUGUGAAGAAGGCGAGGCUGCUGUGUCUGUGGAAGACAUUUUGAUGUUUGCAACUGGGCUGACAUCACUUCCCCCAUCUGGCUUGGAACCACUGCCACAAAUAGAGUUCCUGGAUGACGUUCCACUCCCAAUGGCAAAUACAUGUUCAAACUUGUUGAAAUUACCAUUUCUGGAUUCAUAUAGUGUGUUUAAGUCACAAAUGGACUUUGGAAUUCAAAAUAGUCCAGGAUUUGGUUGUCUAUAAACUAUAUAGCUAGAUAACCAUUAGAGUAGUGUUUUUCAAACCUGGUCAUCCAGGCACAAUGCCCUGCACGUUUUAGAUCAGAGAUCCUAAUCCUGAAUAACUGAUUAACAGGCUUUUUUUUUUUUUUUUUUUUUUUAAACUGCAAUCAUCUGAAUCAGGUAUGUUAAAGCAGGAAAACUUGGACUCAAAAUGUUUUUUGUUCUUUGUUGGUAUUAUGUGCAUUUAAAGGUGCAGUUACUUUUGUUAAAAUACUUUAAAAUUGCGGUAAGCAAGC